rnacentral:tRNA from 1 species
GAUUAAAUGGCUGAAGUUUAGGCGAUAGAUUGUAAAUCUAUUUAUGAGAGUUAUUCUCUUUAAUCA